rnacentral:rRNA from 1 species
UGGGGGAUAUUGCACAAUGGGCGAAAGCCUGAUGCAGCGACGCCGCGUGAGGGAAGACGGUCUUCGGAUUGCAAACCUCUGUCUUGGGGGAAGAAAAUGACGGUACCCCUAAAGGAAGCACCGGCUAACUCCGUGCCAGCAGCCGCGGUAAUACGGAGGGUGCGAGCGUUAAUCGGAAUCACUGGGCGUAAAGCGCACGUAGGCUGUUUGUCAAGUCAGAGGUGAAAUCCCACGGCCCAACCGUGGAACUGCCUUUGAAACUGGCAGACUUGAGUGUCGGAGAGGGUGGCGGAAUUCCAGGUGUAGGAGUGAAAUGCGUAGAUAUCGAGAGGAACACUCGUGGCGAAGGCGAGUUACUGGACAUUUACUGACGCUGAGGUACGAAGGCUAGGGGAGCGAAAG